rnacentral:tRNA from 1 species
GGGUUGUAGCUCAGUGGUAGACCGCUUGCCUAGUAUGUGUGAGGCACUGGGUUCUAUUCUCAGCACUGCUUA